UACGUAGGGUGCAAGCGUUGCCCGGAUUUAUUGGGCGUAAAGGGCGCGUAGGCGGCUCUGCACGUUCGUUGUGAAAUCGCCCGGCUCAACUGGGCGGGGUCAGCGGAUACGGCAGAGCUUGAGCAAGCUAGGGGGCAAUGGAAUUCCGGUGUAGUGGUGGAAUGCGUAGAUAUCGGGAGGAACACCGGUGGCGAAGGCGGCCAUCUGGACGGAUACUGACGCUG
rnacentral:rRNA from 1 species